UACGUAGGGGGCAAGCGUUAUCCGGAUUUACUGGGUGUAAAGGGGGCGCAGACGGCGAUGCAAGCCAGGAGUGAAAGCCCGGGGCCCAACCCCGGGACUGCUCUUGGAACUGCGUGGCUUGAGUGCAGGAGAGGCAGGCGGAAUUCCUGGUGUAGCGGUGAAAUGCGUAGAUAUCAGGAGGAACACCGGUGGCGAAGGCGGCCUGCUGGACUGCAACUGACGUUGAGGCCCGAAAGCGUGGGGAGCAAACAGG
rnacentral:rRNA from 1 species